rnacentral:rRNA from 2 species
GCAUAUCAAUAAGCGGAGGAAAAGAAACCAACAGGGAUUGCCCCAGUAACGGCGAGUGAAGCGGCAACAGCUCAAAUUUGAAAUCUGGUCCCCAGGGCCCGAGUUGUAAUUUGCAGAGGAUGCUUUUGGUGAGGUGCCUUCCGAGUUCCCUGGAACGGGACGCCAUAGAGGGUGAGAGCCCCGUCUGGUUGGAUACCGAGCCUCUGUAAAGCUCCUUCGACGAGUCGAGUAGUUUGGGAAUGCUGCUCUAAAUGGGAGGUAUAUGUCUUCUAAAGCUAAAUAUUGGCCAGAGACCGAUAGCGCACAAGUAGAGUGAUCGAAAGAUGAAAAGCACUUUGAAAAGAGGGUUAAAUAGUACGUGAAAUUGUUGAAAGGGAAGCACUUAUGACCAGACUUGGCCCCGGUGAAUCAUCCAGCGGUUCCCGUUGGUGCACUUUGCCGGGGUUCAGGCCAGCAUCAGUUCGCUCCGGGGGAUAAAGGCUUUGGGAAUGUGGCUCCCUCGGGAGUGUUAUAGCCCAUUGCGCAAUACCCUGUGGCGGGCUGAGGUUCGCGCUUUAUGCAAGGAUGCUGGCAUAAUGGUCAUCAGUGACCCGUCUUGAAACACGGACCAAGGAGUCGUCUUCGUAUGCGAGUGUUCGGGUGUUAAACCCCUACGCGUAAUGAAAGUGAACGCAGGUGAGAGCCCUCCAGGGCGCAUCAUCGACCGAUCCUGAUGUUCUCGGAUGGAUUUGAGUAAGAGCAUACGGGGCCGGACCCGAAAGAAGGUGAACUAUGCCUGUAUAGGGUGAAGCCAGAGGAAACUCUGGUGGAGGCUCGCAGCGGUUCUGACGUGCAAAUCGAUCGUCAAAUAUGGGCAUGGGGGCGAAAGACUAAUCGAACCUUCUAGUAGCUGGUUUCCGCCGA